AUUGAACGCUGGCGGCAUGCCUAACACAUGCAAGUCGAACGGCAGCACAGUAUGUAGCAAUACAUAUGGGUGGCGAGUGGCGGACGGGUGCGUAAUAUGUAGGGAUCUGCCCUGAAGCGGGGGACAACCCGGGGAAACCCGGGCUAAUACCGCAUAAUACUCUACGGAGGAAAUCUGGCACGCAAGUGCUGGGCUUUAGGAUGAACCUACAUCCGAUUAGCUAGUUGGUGAGGUAAUAGCUCACCAAGGCAAUGAUCGGUAGCUGGUCUGAGAGGAUGACCGGCCACGCGGGGACUGAGACACGGCAAAGACUCCUACGGGAGGCAGCAGUGGGGAGUAUUGGACAAUGGGGGAAACCCUGAUCCAGCAAUGCCGCGUGGGUGAAGAAGGCCUUCGGGUUGUAAAGCCAUUUAGGCGGGGAAGAAGGUUAGAGGGUGAUAAGCCUUAUAGCUUGACGGUACCCGCAGAAUAAGCACCGGCUAACUCUGUGCCAGCCGCCGCCGUAA
rnacentral:rRNA from 1 species